rnacentral:rRNA from 1 species
AUCUAUGGCUAUAUCAACCUGAACAUGUCUGAUAUAGACUGAUGUCUGAUUUCUAAAGCUAAUCUGGGUGGGGUCUAGUUAGUACCUGGAGACUGCUUGGGAAUAAUAGGUGUUGUAGGCU